GUAGGUGAACCUGCGGAAGGAUCAUUACCGAGUUCAUGCCCUUCGGGGUAGAUCUCCCACCCUUUGUAUACUAUACCUUUGUUGCUUUGGCGGGCCGCCUAGCUACUGGCUUCGGCUGGACUGUGCCUGCCAGAGGAUACCAAACUCUGAAUGUUAAUGUCGUCUGAGUACUAUUUAAUAGUUAAAACUUUCAACAACGGAUCUCUUGGUUCUG
rnacentral:misc_RNA from 1 species